rnacentral:rRNA from 1 species
GGGCUACACACGUGCUACAAUGGCAAGUACAGAGGGCUGCCAGCCAGCGAUGGUGAGCUAAUCCCUUAAAGCUUGUCGUAGUCCGGAUCGGAGUCUGCAACUCGACUCCGUGAAGUCGGAAUCGCUAGUAAUCGCGUAUCAGCAAUGACGCGGUGAAUACGUUCCCGGACCUUGUACACACCGCCCGUCAAGCCAUGGAAGUUGGGUAGACCUGAAGAUGGUUGCUGUAAGGCGCUAUUUAGGGUAGAACCA